GGGUGCGAUCAUACCAACGUUAAUGCAUCGGAUCCCAUCAGAACUCCGCCGUUAAACACGCUUUGGCUAGAGUAGGACUGGGAUGAGUGACCUCCAGGGAAGUCCUAUUGUUGCACCGU
rnacentral:rRNA from 1 species